rnacentral:rRNA from 1 species
GAUGAACGCUGGCGGCGUGCCUAAUACAUGCAAGUCGAGCGAACAGAUGAGGAGCUUGCUCCUCUGACGUUAGCGGCGGACGGGUGAGUAACACGUGGAUAACCUACCUAUAAGACUGGGAUAACUUCGGGAAACCGGAGCUAAUACCGGAUAAUAUAUUGAACCGCAUGGUUCAAUAGUGAAAGACGGUUUUGCUGUCACUUAUAGAUGGAUCCGCGCCGCAUUAGCUAGUUGGUAAGGUAACGGCUUACCAAGGCAACGAUGCGUAGCCGACCUGAGAGGGUGAUCGGCCACACUGGAACUGAGACACGGUCCAGACUCCUACGGGAGGCAGCAGUAGGGAAUCUUCCGCAAAUGGCGAAAGCCUGACGGAGCAACGCCGCGUGAGUGAUGAAGGUCUUCGGAUCGUAAAACUCUGUUAUUAGGGAAGAACAAAUGUGUAAGUAACUAUGCACGUCUUGACGGUACCUAAUCAGAAAGCCACGGCUAACUACGUG